GUCAGUGUCAUCCUCAUCUACAGAUGACAGGGCACAGGAUCUGGCGGAGGGCAGGCUGCCUGCCAAACGUCACGCCAGGAAGUGGCAGAGCUAAGAUCUGAGUUCUUCUGACCGGCUGAACUCUGUGACCCUGUACCCAGCUCUGUUUUCCCCUGGAGACUUCCGCAGUGGAGGCUCCACGCCUCACAGCCUUCCAAGGAGGAGCCUCCAGAUAGACUUCUGUGUCCUCUCCUGCCCCACCCUCAAGAAGGAGGAGGUAAAGGUGAAGUGAUCAAAGGAGGAAGAACGGUCGCCCAUGUGUCCACUCAGGGUCCAGUCCACUCUUUGGCCACCUCUGCUCCUGGUCUGGGCUCCCGGCCAGGAGUCAAGCCGGGAACAGGGCUAUGGAGGGUGAGACUCGGAGUUAAGGCUCAGCACCAAGAGGUCCUUGUCCUGAUCUGGAGCUGCAGACCGAAUUUGGGAGCCCCCUGCUCUCACCCCAAAGAGGACCAGAGAGAGCAUGGAGGCGCUUACAGUCCCCUUUCCUCGCAGCCAAUCCUGGCCUCAGAGCACUUAGGCACAGUGCAGACCCACACGGUUGGGUCACUUCUCUUGCUGACCCCGAAGUCUCCUUGGUUGGGGCGAGGAAAGCAGCCUGUCUGGGCCCUGGAAUACCAUCUGGGAAUGUGGCAAGGCCGUCCGGAGGACGCCCGCUUCUUUCUCUCUUCCCACCCCCUCAGCAGCUCUGCUCGAGUGGCAACACGUAUCUAGGAGUUAUUAUUAUUAUUAUCUCCACUAAUUAUAGCAGCUCCAGCAGCUAGGCCUCGCGGCCUUGGCACUGCAGGGGAAAUUAGGCACGUAAUUACAUCAUGGAGUCAUCUUAGACCUCCUCCUCUCCCCCUCCAGCCCAGCCAGCCAGACGGGCCACCCCCACAGUCCUUUACGAGGGUUCUCUGGCACUUGGCCAGCAAGAUCAUUCCUAUCCUCUCCCGACUCCCCUCCACUCAGCAUCCUUCACUGGGUCCAAUGCCGGCAAUCCCUACAGUUGGAGGAUUGCUCCCCCUCCCCCUCCCCCACCCCUGCCCAAGCUGAGGCGUCUGUCUAGAUGGACCUUCCUCCGAAUCCUCAGCCCAGGAAGCCAACAGGAAUCCACGGCUGGGCAGCAUGCACACACAACCUGGGUGUCCAGCGGCUUAGCUGGCGAUUCCUUGCCUGGGCCUUACUUCUGGAGACAUCUAACUCUGGAGCCCUCCUGUGGUCUGAGAAGGGCAAUCUCAACCACACUGGCCAGGCACUGGGGGAGAGGGCUCUGGCUGGCUGGAAUUUAUCCCAGAAGAAACUGGCCCGGGAAAGUGACUUGGUUACAAGUUGGCCUCUUGGCCAUUUGUUGUUGAUGCGAUGAGCAGCCGGGGCUGUGGAGAUAAGACAGCUGCCUCCCCACCCAGGGGCCCCACAGAGCUGAUACCGGUGACCUUGCUCUUCUUCUGGGGUGAUGACUCAUGGAGUGGUGGGAUGGGGAGGGUGCCUGCAGCCUUGGCUAUCUGUCAGAACACAUCCAAGGAAUGCCGCCCACAGCCUGAGAAGGGCCUCUGCCACCAGAGAGCCACAUGCCUCCCACCAAGACUCUGAAGGCGCAAAGAUGGAGACAGCCUGUUGCCCUCGCUUUCAGCUGCUGUCUGCUCAAGUUUCCUCAUGACAAAAUCUUUGCAGACAUGAGUCCUUGUGCUUGUGCUGGCUAGUUUUAUGCCAAAGGAAAGAACAGGAGCAAAGAGCUAAAGGUGGCUGAGCGCAAAGAAGUACAGGACGCUUGCAGACCACGGGGAGCUGCGGCCACCAUCGGCCAGACUGGCUUCCACUAGCGGGUCCUGGUGUGGUCACAGUCCACCGGCCAGCCAGCGAGGCUCUUGGCUAUGGUGACUUCUCUCUUCCAGGAUCACUUGGUUGCCAUCUGGAAAAACCCAGCCAAGCAUUUGGGUUCUCCUUUCUUCCCCAGGUUCCUGCACCCCCUUUCUGGCCAAUGUUCAUUCAGGAUAUGUAGCACGUCUUUUUCUGAAUGACUCUCACGUACCACACACUGAGGUGGCACAGGAAAUGUGGUAACUAAUGGGACAAAUAAACUGACCAUUGUGGAUCUUACAGCUGCACUUUUCAAAAGGUAUUUUGAAGGGGCUGGAGAGAUGGCUCAGUGGUUAGGAGCACUGGCUGCUCUUGCAGAGGACCCAGGUUUAUUUUCCAAUGCCUACAUGACAGUUAACAGCUGUAACUCCAAUUCUAGAGGAUCCAACACCCUCUUCUGACCUUCUUGGGCACAUCAUGCUCAUUGUACACAGAUAUCCAUGCUGGCAAAACACCCAUAUAUGCAAAAUAAAAGUAAAUAAAUCUUUAAAACAAAACUUU